CCUCCGCUGGGAGAUCGUGCUGCACCUGAUCGCUGCGGCCGUUCACCGAGAGCGAGUUCCAGAUCCGCGUGAAGAC
rnacentral:tRNA from 1 species